CUGGCGGCGUGCCUAAUACAUGCAAGUCGAACGGUCUUUUCUAUGGAAGCUUGCUUCCACUGAGAAGAUAGUGGCGGACGGGUGAGUAACACGUGGGUAACCUGCCCAUAAGAGGGGGGAUAACAUCCGGAAACGGGUGCUAAUACCGCAUAGUUUUCUUGAUCGCAUGAUCGAGAAAGGAAAGACGGCCUUUGUGCUGUCGCUUAUGGAUGGACCCGCGGCGUAUUAGUUAGUUGGUGAGGUAAUGGCUCACCAAGACGAUGAUACGUAGCCGACCUGAGAGGGUGAUCGGCCACAUUGGGACUGAGACACGGCCCAAACUCCUACGGGAGGCAGCAGUAGGGAAUCUUCCGCAAUGGACGAAAGUCUGACGGAGCAACGCCGCGUGAGUGAAGAAGGUUUUUCCGGGAUCGUAAAACUCUGUUGUCAGAGAAGAACAAGUCGGAGAGUAACUGCUCCGGCCUUGACGGUAUCUGACCAGAAAGCCACGGCUAACUACGUGCCAGCAGCAGC
rnacentral:rRNA from 1 species